CAUGCAAGUCGAACGGUAACAGAUCUAGCUUGCUAGAUGCUGACGAGUGGCGCACGGGUGCGUAACGCGUAUACAAUCUACCUCUAACUGAGGGAUAGCCCAGAGAAAUUUGGAUUAAUACCUCAUAGUAUUAUAAUAAGGCAUCUUUUUAUAAUUAAAACUCCGGUGGUUAGAGAUGAGUAUGCGUCCUAUUAGCUAGUUGGUAAGGUAACGGCUUACCAAGUCUACGAUAGGUAGGGGGCCUGAAAGGGUGAUCCCCCACACUGGUACUGAGACACGGACCAGACUCCUACGGGAGGCAGCAGUGAGGAAUAUUGCACAAUGGAGGAAACUCUGAUGCAGCCAUGCCGCGUGCAGGAUGAAUGCCCUACGGGUUGUGGACUGCUUUUAUACAAGAAGAAACAUCAGUACGUGUACUGACUUGACGGUAUUGUAUGAAUAAGCACCGGCUAACUCCGUGCCAGCAGCCGCGGUAAUACGGAGGGUGCAAGCGUUAUCCGGAUUUAUUAGGUUUAAAGGGUCCGCAGGCGGAAUAUUAAGUCGGUGGUGAAAGCCUACAGCUUAACUGUAGAACUGCCAUUGAAACUGCUAUUCUUGAGU
rnacentral:rRNA from 1 species